AUUAAAGCACAAAGCAUCCGAAGACAAACAGAUGUGGCUGUGUUCCCAAAAAGUCCAUGAGAACCUGUGCAGGCUGACUUGACCUGCCUCUGUAAUACGCCAAACCCUGGUAGAAACAAAUGUGGUCCCAGGAGUUGCACAACGCAGUGAGAGAGCUGAUGUUCAGGAAGCCGAGCUGGCAGAGGCUUGCAAGGAAAGCGGGCUGACCAUUUGGUAUUGGCCAAUCAACUGGUGUGUUCUUCCCUGGAAAAUCUAGGGAUGUCAGAAGCUACCACCAUAAACUCUCACUAACGAGACCAACCAAACAUGAAAUGAACAAGAAAAGACACCAGCAAUACACACGUUAUCAUGGAUGUGGGGAAAGCUCAGGAGGUCUCAACCUUGCACAAAGAACCACAAGCAACUAAGGGAUGGAGAGAGUGAGAGAGGUUAUUUUGCCUGCAUGUGUGUAUCUGCAUCACACGCAUGCAGUGCCCCUGGAGACCAGAAAAAGGAGUUUUAUUCCUGGGACUGGAGUAACAGAAGAUUGUGAGCAGCCAUUGUGGGUGCCAGGAAUUAAGUCUGAGUCUUCUGGAAGAGCAUCUCAUAUUCUUAAUUGCUGAGCCAUCUCUCCAGCAUUUCUUAUACGGUGAACAUUUACUGAGACUGAAUAGAAAGGAGAGAGAGAGAGAGAGAGAGAGAGAGAGAGAGAGAGAGAGAGAGAGAGAGAGAGAGAGAGCCGAACACCAGCAUGCUUCUCUCUUUCUCUGCUUCCUGACUACAGAUACAACAUGACCAACCGCCUCAAACUCCUGCUGCCGGGAUGGACCAGACCCUCAAGACUAUGAGGCAAAAUAAACCCUUCGCUGCUUAAACUAUUUGUGGCCGUUUGAACCAGAUGCCCCCCCAUAGUCCCGGGCAGUUGAAUAGUUUGUUCCCAGUGGUAACAUGUGGGCAGAUUUAGGAGGGCGGCCUUGCUAGAGGAAGUACACCACUGAGGAUGUUCACUUCCUUUGUUUCCUGCUUGUGGCUCAAGAUAUGUAUGCCCUCAGCUCUCAGCUUCUCACUGCCACGUCUACCAUCUGUUGCCAUACCGUCCCCUCCCUGACCCUAAUUAUAGACCCUAACCCUCUGAAACUAUAAGCCCAAAAUAAACUUUUUUUCUAUAA